CCUACGGGUGGCAGCAGUGAGGAAUAUUGGUCAAUGGGCGCAAGCCUGAACCAGCCAAGUAGCGUGCAGGAUGACGGCCCUAUGGGUUGUAAACUGCUUUUGUACGGGAACAAAAGGCGCCACGUGUGGCGUUCUGAGAGUACCCGAAGAAUAAGCACCGGCUAAUUCCGUGCCAGCAGCCGCGGUAAUACGGAGGGUCCGGGCGUUAUCCGGAUUUAUGGGGUUUAAAGGGUGCGAGGGCGGAAGAUCAAGCGUGCGGUAAAAUGGAGGGGCUCAACCCCGUCUAGCCGUGGCAACUGGCUUGCUUGAGUGCGCGGGAAGUAGGCGGAAUGCGUGGUGUAGCGGUGAAAUGCUUAGAUAUCACGAAGAACUCCGAUUGCGAAGGCAGCAUACUGGAGCGCAACUGACGCUGAUGCUCGAAAGUGUGGGUAUCGAACAGGAUUAGAUACCCGAGUAGUC
rnacentral:rRNA from 1 species